GGAGCGAAAGCGACGUUCAACCGCAAAAGAAGCAGAGGGGGCUUAGUGGUGGGGUGACUGCGUACCUUUUGUAUAAUGGGUCAGCGACUUAUAUUCUGUAGCAAGGUUAACCGAAUAGGGGAGCCGGAGGGAAACCGAGUCUUAAUUGGGCGUUAAGUUGCAGGGUAUAGACCCGAAACCCGGUGAUCUAGCCAUGGGCAGGUUGAAGGUUGGGUAACACUAACUGGAGGACCGAACCGACUAAUGUUGAAAAAUUAGCGGAUGACCUGUGGCUGGGGGUGAAAGGCCAAUCAAACCGGGAGAUAGCUGGUUCUCCCCGAAAGCUAUUUAGGUAGCGCCUCGUGAAUUCAUCUCCGGGGGUAGAGCACUGUUUCGGCUAGGGGGCCAUCCCGGCUUACCAACCCGAUGCAAACUGCGAAUACCGGAGAAUGUUAUCACGGGAGACACACGGCGGGUGCUAACGUCCGUCGUGAAGAGGGAAACAACCCAGACCGCCAGCUAAGGUCCCAAAGUCAUGGUUAAGUGGGAAACGAUGUGGGAAGGCCCAGACAGCCAGGAUGUUGGCUUAGAAGCAGCCAUCAUUUAAAGAAAGCGUAAUAGCUCACUGGUCGAGUCGGCCUGCGCGGAAGAUGUAACGGGGCUAAACCAU
rnacentral:rRNA from 1 species